UCUCUUUGUGUUUGAGGGCAGGAGGUUUAGGGGAGAAUUCAGGGUGAGUGUUUUUAGAAAAAUGAGAGGUGAAAGGGGACGAUGAUAUUUGCUGGUGGUUAAUGAAUUAUAAAGGAUAAAGAGAGACGUUGACACAGACAUGCAUCUUCUCAUCAAAUCACACAAGUCCACCAAGAAGCUCACAUAUCAAUAAUGCACAGAUAUAACACACACACACACACACAAAUGUAUUUCCACAUUAUAACCCACAUACUCUACCUAGAGAUUUACUGAUGACAUUGUGCAUCAAUUAUAUAAAUACAGUGAACUCCAUGUACAGUUUCACAUCCACCCACGUCGCAUGCACACAGCCCACACACACACACACACACACACACGCACACACACACACACACACACACAAAGGCCCCUCAAAAUAUAGCUUUACUCAUGAGCCACUGGCACAUACCAUUAAAUAAUACACCACAUAAACCAAGACAGCAUCUCACUUCUUCUCUCUCCCCCUCACACACACACACAGACACACAUGCUACUUCAUGUCAAAUUUAAUUUUUGUUUACAGCAAUCAAGUGAAGAAAGUAUGAAAAGUGUGGAGAGAGCUGUACGGAUCCAGAAUAAUGAGAGACGACCUGACACA